rnacentral:RNase_P_RNA from 1 species
CGAGUCGGCCGGGUGAUCGCGGCGCCGGUCACGGCGUCGAGGAAAGUCCGGACUCCACAGGGCGAGGUGGUGGGUAACACCCACCCGGGGCGACCCGCGGGACAGUGCCACAGAAAACAGACCGCCCGCCGCGAGGCGGGUAAGGGUGAAACGGCGGUGCAAGAGACCACCAGCGUCCCGGGUGACCGGGACGGCUCGGCAAACCCCACCUGGAGCAAGACCAAGAAGGACGCCACGGCGUCCGCGGAAGCGACCGAGGGCUGCCCGCCCGAGCUUCCGGGUAGGUCGCACAGCCACUGGCUGGAGGCCGCCGGUGACGGCGGUCACAGAUGGAUGAUCACCGCGCUCACGCGCACAGAAUCCGGCUUACAGGCCGACUCGUCCC